rnacentral:rRNA from 1 species
AGAAUCAACGCUGGCGGCGUGCCUAACACAUGCAAGUCGAACGAGAAAGUGGAGCAAUCCAUGAGUAAAGUGGCGACCGGGUGAGUAACACGUGACUACCUACCCUUGAGUGGGGGAUAACCUCGGGAAACCGAGGCUAAUACCGCAUAAUAUCGAAAGAUCAAAGGAGUAAUCCGCUUUUGGAGGGGGUCGCGGCUGAUUAGCUAGUUGGUAGGGUAAUGGCCUACCAAGGCGAAGAUCGGUAUCCGGCCUGAGAGGGCGCACGGACACACUGGAACUGAAACACGGUCCAGACUCCUACGGGAGGCAGCAGUGGGAAUUUGCGCAAUGGGGGAAACCCUGACGCAGCAACGCCGCGUGGAGGAUGAAGCCCCUUGGGGUGUAAACUCCUUUCGACCGGGAAAAUAAUGAUGGUACCGGUGGAAGAAGCACCGGCUAACUCUGUGCCAGCAGCCGC